AUAAGAAAAGAAAUAAAAUUUCAGCAUACUUAAUUAACAGGAACAAAAGAAGCAGUGACAUAACUGGUUGUGUGCACCUGUAGUUGGUUCGUACACAAUUCACUUUAUUGGCGACCAGAAGCAACUUUGCUAUUUCUGAUCACGAUCCUUAUGUGCCAUCCAGAAUUCUCUGCAUUACAGUCCCUGAAGAAAUGGAACAGCAGAACAGCAACAAUGACAGAAAUGGGAGCAGUUCCUGGUGUAUGGAUCCCCUAAGCCUUUGCAAUCAAUAUGCUCUUUGGUGGAAACUAAGAAAAUGCAGUAACUGA
rnacentral:lncRNA from 1 species